rnacentral:rRNA from 1 species
AGUGAACGCUGGCGGUAGGCCUAACACAUGCAAGUCGAACGGCAGCACAGUAAGAGCUUGCUCUUACGGGUGGCGAGUGGCGGACGGGUGAGGAAUACAUCGGAAUCUACUUUUUCGUGGGGGAUAACGUAGGGAAACUUACGCUAAUACCGCAUACGACCUACGGGUGAAAGCAGGGGAUCUUCGGACCUUGCGCGAUUGAAUGAGCCGGUGUCGGAUUAGCUAGUUGGCGGGGUAAAGGCCCACCAAGGCGACGAUCCGUAGCUGGUCUGAGCGGACGAACAGCCCACAGUGAAAGAGAACGAUGAGCCAGACUCGGACGGAGGCAAGGAGGGGGAAAUUGCGGAAAAGGGGCGAAGGCCAUUUCCGGCAAUGCGGGGGAGGGAAAAGGGGCUUUGGGGUGUUAAAGUCGUUGUGUGGGGAAAAAAAAGCAGCAUUUGAAGCACCCGCUGUAAUGACGGUACCCAAAGAAUAAGCACCGGCUAACUCCGUG